CAGUCACAGCUCUGAAAUCUGAUAUAUCCUGUGCAGGGGAGCUUUGCACAAUAGAAUAUAGUCUCUCUUCACAUUUUGUACUCAUCCUGAUGAUGUCCAGAACUGAAGUAUAUAUAUAGUAACUGGGCCAGAGCUCAGAAAACCAUAUGCAAGUGGAGGUGGUAAGAAUGUAAAAGCCAGAGGGAAUGAAGAACACCAAGAAAAUAAGACCUUCUAAAUCAACCUGAUUAAACUCAUAUGAACUCACGGAAACUGAAGCAAUAUGCACAGUGUUGUACAUCAAACCCGGUCCUAACCCAGGAUAAGUGGCCACUCUAUUUCUCAGCUAGAUCUUCACUCCUGGAGCUUGACUUUUUCAUCAUGGCAAUAAUGCCUAUCUGAGAAUUUGUAUAGGUAAAGGAAUGUCAAUAAAAUCAAAACACAAGUAAGCAACCAUG